rnacentral:lncRNA from 1 species
GAAGCGCCCACCCACAGCACCUGCUCUGCUGCCCCGGCUCCUGGCUGCAGCUGCACCAGCAACAUGGGGUGAUGACUCAGGGGAAUUCAAGGCUGCCGCAGACACCAGCCAGGCGGCCAGGCCUCCCUUGGCUGCCCCUCAUCCGAGGAGCGAGGAGCGGCUGGCAUCCCCGCACUGCCUGCCUCCUCCUCCACGUGGGCCCAGCCCUGAGCCCACUCCGCCUUUGUCACUACGCUGUUGUGUGACCACCAGAAAAGCACUGCCUCGGUUUCCCUGGUUAGAGCAUGGCGACAGUCUCGCCGGACUCCCAGAGGGGGAUAGGGACAAAAAGAGGUCCUCGGUGGGGAUGCCCACGGCCGUCCACGCAGGGGAAAGCCAACACCCCCCUCCCAGCCCCACCCCCAACGUCCUGGCUCCGCCCCUUCCAGGCACUGAGGCCCAAAUGCUAUUACUCCUAGCCAGGAUCUGAUAGGCGAGAGUGGGAGAAGUCGGCACAGGGGACCCGCUGGCUCGGGGCACUUGCAGUGCUGUCAGCUGGACCUUCGCCCUCGCCCCUGUGGCAGCGGGCGGUGGCUCUGGGAGCCCGGCUGUGCCUGGUCCUCGAUGGGCCGCUCCCCGUCUCUUGCGCUAGACUCUUAGGUGCACCCCUCUCCCAGCCAGGGCCAACCUAGGUCAGGGCCUCCUCCCCACUCCUGCG